rnacentral:rRNA from 1 species
AUACGUAGGUGGCAAGCGUUGUCCGGAUUUACUGGGUGUAAAGGGCGUGUAGCCGGGUCGACAAGUCAGAUGUGAAAUCUGGAGGCUCAACCUCCAAACUGCAUUUGAAACUGUUGAUCUUGAGUAUCGGAGAGGUAAUCAGAAUUCCUUGUGUAGCGGUGAAAUGCGUAGAUAUAAGGAAGAACACCAGUGGCGAAGGCGGAUUACUGGACGACAACUGACGGUGAGGCGCGAAAGCGUGGGGAGC